GACCCGCUUCUUGUGGAAAGUCAAUAUGCAAAAGUUAAUUUAAGAUGAUCUGUGAAUACAGAAGUUUGUUAUUAGUAUCUUUUGUGACAAUAGAAUCUGUUCGCGGAUGCUCGCAGUUGAGGACCUUCUUUUUUGCCUCUUUGAUAUUAUUUUAUUAUCAGACUUUCAUCGCUGUGGCGGUAUUGCUGAACACCAACUGCAAGGAGCUAGAAGGAUCUUGUGUAAAGAAAAAUAAGUGGACAAAGUAGGAAUUUUAUCAAGUCGAAAAUGUCACAAACUAUCUAUGUAUUAUAAUAUUUGUAUUGUCAAAAAAGCAAGGACUGCAAGAGCAUCACAAUCGCAAUUAACACUUAUGAUAAAUUAUUUUUACUUAAACAUGGGUCUCGCAGAAGGAAAAUUUAAUAGUUUGCAUGGAAAAGAAAUGCCAAAGAAGUGGAUCGAACUAACAGAAGAAUUAAAUUCAUACCAAAGAGCAGUAAAAACCGUUGAGCAGUGGCAAGUGGUUAAGUUGAAGAGACUUAAAAAGUCGUACUUCAAUUAAAGUACGAGAUUUAUGUAAAGCAAAAGCAUUAACAGGGAAUAAAGAUAUAAUGCAAUCGGAAUUGACAGAACUUGAAAAACGUAUAAUUGGAUUAAUAGGGCCCGAGUACGCGGAAGGAAAUAAAUUUUGUGCAGAGAAUAUCCCUGAGGAGGAGGAUUUCCUGGAAGAAUUGGAACAUGGAAACAAAACAACUUUAUCCAAAACUCCACAAGUAAUAAGCAUUUGUACGGAUAUAUCACAGAAAAUUUCUCAAGAUUCACAAUAUUUAGAUGUUAAUAUAGAUGAUGUAAAUGUUAUUCCAAACAAUUAUUCACAGAAUAAAAACUUAUUCGAUGUUGAUGAAAAUGGAAACUCUGAUGUUGCUAAGGAUUUUGAAAACUAUGGAUCAAGGACUCAAAAGGCUGCUUCGUCCUCAUCUCUUAGGACAAAUAGGAAUACUCCAUAUCCCCUUGUAGCAAAACCAGCAAGACAGUCAAAAAGUCUUUCAGAAAAUAUGCAUUCUCCAAGACGAUUGAUAAGAGGUAAUUGGGCUCGAUCGUCUGAAUUGUCUUCAACAAAGGAACAGUUUCCAUUGCUCAGAAGCAGGCUGAAUGGUAAGACACUGAUGCUGAAAUGAUGCAUGCUGAAUCUGCUAAAAUUCAAGCAGAAGUAUCUAAGACAAAUGCACAAGCAAUGACUGAAAUUGCACAUGCUGUACAAAAAUUGGCAGAUACUGCUGCUGUACAAGCAAUUAACGACAGUAAACGCAUACGAGUUUUUGAGAAACUUACAGUUUUACAGUUUUAGAAAACUUAUUGCCUACUUAUCUGAAGGAUUAGUACAACAAAUGAAAGAUUGAAGUACUUACUGAUGCUAAACAGUUCCUAACAAAUUAGACGAAGUACUACUACGA